rnacentral:rRNA from 1 species
CCUGGUGGCCAUAGCGGAGGGGAAACGCCCGUUCCCAUUUCGAACACGGAAGCU